CAUUGUGUGAUAACUAUACAUUCAGUAUAUAGCACAUUUAGUUCUCAGAUUUAGACAAGUAUGCAAAAAUGUAUGUCACUGGCUAUUGGCUAUUAAUCACUGCAUGAUUUAUUUAUUGAAGUACUAUUAUGUUGCUGGUAUAAUGAAGAUGGUCUCCAGUAAGGUAAUUACCAUUACUAUUACAUUCCGAACACAGAAUAGCAUUACAGUUACCAUUACUAUACUUAGUUUGAAUCACAUUGAUUGCAAUUCACUAGCUCCUAUGUACCUCCCUCUCUUUGUCCUUUUUGCUUCCUCUAUUUACAGUAUACCUCUCAAUGCACCACCAAGCUCAGGAUUUGAGAAGUCUUGCAUUCAAUCAAAUUAAAGACAUCAAUAUCAGGAGGACGUUGUGCAUGUAUAACAAUCCAUUAAUUUUUGUUUUUGAUUUUUCAUCACGUUUUAAUAUAAUGCUCAGUUGUACCAAUCU